rnacentral:lncRNA from 1 species
AGUGUCAGUUCAACCCUGUGCCUUGGGAGGCCCACUUCUCUGAACUGCCUUUGUAACUUGAGCUAAUUCCUCAUUGAGGAGCCUGGUGAGUUAAACCUGGACUCUUUUGCCAGCAGGUAAACAACUCUGGGAAAUUCAUCAUCAGUUUCUAAAAGUAAUCUGUAAACCACAUCCAAAUAUUUUUCUCUUAGUAAAGACUUCUGAAGAUGAUAGAGGUCUGCCUUCUGAAGCCCCUUUGGCUAUGAACCAGAAGCAUCUUCUACCUCUUUGGUUUCAUCGAAGCUCUGAAACUGGGCCAGGAACUCCUGUAUUCUCUUAGCUGUGCUGCCAAGGUGCUUUUCACAAGAAGAUUUAAAAACCUCGAAACAUUUCUCAAGUAUGGUCAUCAGUUCAUCCUUUGCCAACAUCUUCAGCAGCUGCAAGACUGAUGCGUACUCCUCUGAAUUCCGGAUGUUCUUUUCUAAACAUGCGGUACAACUCUCUGAUCUGUCGACCUAGUGGAUACUUGGGAAGAGAAGAGGUGAACUUAUGAACACAUCUCAAAACCAGAAAGUAAUUCAUAUGAUAAACAUGCAGGUUUUCUAGUAAUAAUUGCGUUUCCUUCUUCAAACAUCUCUCACUGGUCAAGAGCGCAACUUGCUUUUCUGAAGCUUGCUUUUCCACAUAUCUCCUAAAAGAUGGAAGACGUCAGAUGUUUUCACAUUGAUUAUUUGAUAAAAAAUUUAUUCUUCUUUUGACUUAUGGAAGAUUACAGCACAGGACACUUAAGGGCUGGGAACAGAAAUGCUCUAAUAAAGAAAGUUGAAGACUUUUAUAAAGUUUUGAAUCGAGAAAUCAUGAUACAAAAAGAUGUUGGUCAGAACCUGCAAUACUUUUUCAUUUAUUUUAAAGGGAAACUGAGUUGUAAGAAGUAGCUUAUUGAGUACCAUAGUCUGAUGCUCCUUGCAAGACAAAAAUUGGAACAGUUCUAUACACAACAGAGAUGAUACUGCAUGAGGAAACAAUCGGUGGUUGAUAAUAGAUGUGGCGAUUCCCACAAUGAGUAUUAGUGGAAAUUCAUGCAGAUGUUGACUGCUGAUAAUUAUGAAAUCUUGCAGUACUUUUGUGGCAAAGCUUUCCAUAUCCUUUAAGGUAGCCAAAACAGGAGGAGACUGCCAUUGGCUAGAAGUAGUCCUCUUUUUGCUUGGCAUUUUUGGGUCUGUCUUCUGUGUGACAGUCAUGUACCAACUGGAAAGUGAAUCCAUUAAAUAAUGUGUAUUUCUCUGGGUGACCUGAACGCUUUCCCCCUCUUUGGAUUUUAGAUGUACACAGCAGUUCAUUAAUUAUGAGACCAAAUUUUGCAAAAAAUGUUUCAUAUCUGGACAGUCUUUAGCUUGCGAUGAGACUACAUAUGGUGUGACUUUAUUCUGAAGGGCCUCUGUUAGACUUCUGAAUGUUAAAUCAUGAUCUGUGACUUUCACACCAAGAACAAGAGCAGCAGUUGGAAUUUCUCUGAGUUUUGUUUGACAGCCCAAGUCUCUUGAAUUCUUCUGGAAUCCAGAAUGAGAUUUUUGCAGAAAUUCAGUUAGAUUGUCAAACAAGUUUUUAUUUAAUUCCUCUUGUAGUGGCUCAUUUUCAGAUUUCAUUUGCUGCCAUAUCAACUAAGUUCCAAAUUGAAGCUUACUGUCCUUAGGCUCAUUUUUCCCUUUGUUAAAAUAGUCCUCCAUUGGCACAGAGAUCUUUCUCUUUUUGGAGUUUGGCUUAAAAACAAAGCAGCCCUUAGACACUGAGGAGGUGGCCAUGGUCUUACUGGCUCUGUGGAUACCAGAUGAACCGGGAAUACCUUUUGACUGUGAUCCCAAGGGGAGAGUGGAAGAGUACAGGUUAAAGAGAGUACUGCAAUUUCAGAACACUAGUGGAUUCUAUUGUCCUUUUGCGAUUAGACUUAUUUCAGGGUCAUAACAGGUAUUUUCCUGAUGGUACCUGAUAGGACACUUUAAGUACGUACAUGAGGGCACUAGCAUUUUGAGCUGCAUGGCCUGGUCUUAUUGACCUCUUUUAGCCCAGAAUCUUUAGUGAAGAUACUUGCCUCUUCCAUCACAUCCUUCCAUGUAGCCCACUUCCCAGUUACACCAGUGCACACCUGAUGGCUUAGAAACCAAGUCCAUCUAAUACAUAUACCCUCAGCUCAUAUACACCCUUUUUCUUUGGUAUUCCUACCUUUGCAUGUACUAGUUUAUAAUUCAGAAUAUUCUCACCAUCUUUUUUUCCUGGGGAUAUCUCUCACUUCCUUUGAGACUCUUGGCUCUUCCUCUGACCUCCCAUAAGACACUCAGCUUAUAGCUUUAUAAUAGAUUUAGCUUGUUCUGUCUUCCUAUAUAGAAUUUUUACAUGGCUGAAUGUACAGAAUGGAUAAAGAAAUGAAUCAUAAUAGAUAUUCAACAAAUAUUUGUGAAAUACAUUAGGUUUUUUUUUUAAAUUAAGUACCAAUCUGGGGCAUAAAUUAGCAUAAUUUGUGGGUGCUGGGAGGGGGAAACGAUAGUAAAGAUACAGCUAAGGUAAGAAGAUUGACUACAUACCUCUCUCUAACUUCAUGGGGUGGAGACUUUCUUCUUUGAAGUUUUUUUGAGGUGGAGUCUCGCUCUGUUGCCCAGGUUUGAGUCAGUGGUGCGAUCUCAGCUCACUGCAGCCUCUGCCUCCUGGGUUCAAGCAAUUCUGCCUCAGCCUCCCGAGUAUCUGGGAUUACAGGUGCCCACGACCAUGCCUGGCUAAUUUUUGUAUUUUUAGUAGAGACAGGGUUUCACCACAUUGGUCAGGCUGGUCUUGAACUCCUGACCUAAGGUGAUCCGAUGGCUUUGGCCUCCCAAAGUGCUGGGAUUACAGGUGUGAGCCACCACGCCUGGCCCUGAAGUUUUAACAUAUAAUAAAAAUCAAGAUGAACACUGACCUUGUACUAAAUAUCUUCUAUCAACCUCUUAUGAAAUAGCAGUCACAUUGCCAGUUAGUUUAUCUCAUUCUAAGCCCCUACUUAAAUUGUAAAUAGUAAUUCAUAUGCAUUUGCCUGGUGUUUUAUGAUUUCCUAAGUGCAUGUAUAUCUAUGAUCAUGGAAGUUUAUAUAAUGUUAACUGCACAGACUUCAAUAUUUGCUUGAAUUCUAAUCCUGGCUGUAUCAUGUAUUGACUUAUAACCUUGGGCAAGUCUAUUAACUAACUUCCCUGAAACUCUGUUUCCUUGAUCACAAAAUGCAAAUAGAACAUUUCUUAUAGGGCUGCUGUGUUUAUGAGUGGAUCACUAAUACACACUACAUAUGUUGCAUUUAUUUUUGAUUCACAGGAAGCACUCAAAAAUGUUAACAAUAAUGUGGAUAAUGAUCUUUUUUGAAUUUUACAUACAAGUCUGUGAAACAAGAAGAGAUUUUAUUAUCCUCCACUUAGUAGAUAGAAAAAUUGAGACUGUUAUCAUUAAACUUCUAGUGCAUAAGUAACUUUCUCAAGGACCCAAUUACAACAUGAAGGUAGAAAUUGUAUCCCAGGUUUUCAGAUUCAGAAUUCAGCAUUUUUCCACUGUAAUAGAUUCCCUACAACCUAAAAUACUGUCUCAUUGUUCUUUCUUUGGUUUACUGCUCUUUGUAGACUUGGCUUAAAUUUGUGAAAGGCAAGUGUGAGGGAAAAGAGGGAUUUGUGUUUAAAUGAAAUGCGGGUAUGAAAAAAAGUGAAUUUAGCCAUUCAUCCCUACUGAGCAAGUUUGAAGAAAAGCAAUUUUCCUAUUCUCUGCAAACCAUUCCCAGUUACCAUGAACAGUCGGUGAAAAAAAUAUAUAUUGGUUCCAUUACUUUAUUAAGCAUCUUUUGAAAGGAUAUCAAAAGAACUUCAUUUAUAAAAUCUUGUAAAGGUAUGAAAACAUUACCAACUACAAAGAUAAAUGGUUGAAAUGAAAUGGGAACUGAUCUUUUUUGACAAGAAUUCCUAGUUUGAUAACCCUGGCUGUUUUUCCCUUAAAUGUACCUUCCGAGGAUUUGGCAUUAAUCAAACCACAUUUUAAAUAUACCGUUACAUUAAGUAAUGCACAUUUGUCCUCAGAGAUAAUGCUGAGUCUUUUUUACUCUUUAUCAAAGCACAUUUUAAUUGACUGGGAAAUUAAGAAAUACAUUCCUUGCAUAUAAUAUGAAGAAAUAUGUUCGCAAAAAUAAAUAUAAAAAGAGGUUUAUACCAAAAGCAUAUAGCUAGAUCUAGUUGCAGAGCUAUACAACUUGGCUCUGUUUGAGACUACAUCUAGUUUAAUGUAACUUGGAUCAAUUUUAGCAACUAGAAAGCACUGUAGAAUAGACAUCAGGAUUUUAUACACACACACACAUUGUGUAUAUACAGAUAUAUAUACAUAUAUAUUUGAAGAGAAGCAAUUUUCAAAUAUAUGUAUUGCAACAAUGUUUACCCUCUUGACCAGGAACAUUAGAUUGCAUCUGUGUAUUAAAACAUGACAUGGAAGUAGCUCCUGUCUGUAAACCGUCCUCAAUCUGUUAAGCCCUAUUGAUCUCAGAGAGGUGAUGGAGAAAAGAGAAGUCGUCCCUCAUUCUAAGACUUUACUAAAAAGACUCCAUAUCCAGGGCAUGGUACUAUAUAUCAUAAUUUUAUUUUUAAAAAAGAGAGAAAUGGCAAAAAUAAAACUCUGCUCUUCUUUUAAAGAUCAGAAAUUCUAAUCAGUUGCAUUGAAAAUUAAAUAAUAAAUAAAAAACAAUAGCAUCAAUGAUUUAUAUCUGUAUCGUGCUUUACCAUUUUCAAAGAGUAUUUAUAGCCACUGUUUCAAGUGGUCCUGCCACCAACACUGUUAAGCAGGAUUUAAGUCAACACUACUCUGCUAAGAUAUGACUAAUGAAGUAGAUACUACUAUUAGUUCCAUUUUACAGAUACAUUUUACAGAACAUUUUUUAAAAUGAGUUUCUGAGAGGUCAAAUGAUGUGCCCAAAGUUAUGCUAAUAAGUGGUCCAGCUUAAACGUGAAUCCAUUCAACUUGAAUCAGAGCAUGGUAUUGACAUCAUUUGACAGUGAGAUUGUUGAAUCCCACUGCGCUCGUUGGCAGGGAAAGCCUAGAAGUCAGCAAAAGUCAUUUCUCUUGUAAGUCAAAAUGGCAUAGCCAGAUUUUGACACUUUUCAAAUUAAAUGCUUUUCUGUGUUACCAUUGCUUAUUGUUCAUUUCUUUACCACACAGCACCCAGUAUAGAAUAGCAUACAGUACACUUAGUUAACUAUCCAUCUCUCUCUUGAAACUUGAGUUACACACACAAUUCAGGGCAAGGGCCCAACAGUUUAUCAUGUGUUCCCGUUACAAGAUUUUAAAUAGUAAUUUCUGAUUCUCUUUCCAGCCUUAAGAUGGCAUCCAGCCAGAAGCAGAGUGUUCCUCUACCUUCAGUAGACAGUUUACAACCUGAACCCCUCUAGGCAUUAGUCCUUGCUCUGACUUGAGCAUCAGCUCACACUCAGAAUUCUGAGUUGGAUGCCUAUUUUUAAAGCUGAGGACACCUCUUCCUGAGUUUUCCUACCUUUCAGCAGGAGCAAGAUGUAUUAGUCUGUUCUCACGUUGCUAAUAAACACAUACCUGAGACUGGAUAAUUUAUAAGGGAAAGAGGUUUAAUGGAUUCACAGUUCCCCAUGGCUGGGGAGUCCUCACAAUCAGGCGGAAGGCAAAUGAGGAGCAAAGUCACAUCUUACAUGGUGACAGGCAAGAGAGCUUGUGCAGGGGAACUCCCAUUUAUAAAAUCAUCAGAUCUCGUGAGAUUUAUUCACUACCACAAGAACAGUCUGGGGGAAAAUGCUCCAGUGGUUCAGUCAUCUCCACCUGGCCCCAUCUUUGACACAUGAAGAUUAUUACAAUUCAAGGGGAGAUUUGAGUGGGCACCCAGCCAAACCAUAUCACAAGGUAACUUCUCUCUGCCUCCUUAUUGACUCUUCUCCAUAGCAAUCUGCACCUGUUAAUCACUUCAAGAAUGAACAUCUUACCAUUAUUCAUGUUGCCUUUGGAAUUAUACAAGUUGGUUAUCCUGCUGGUGGCACUGUGGUGGAAGUGUUCUGAUAACAGGCACCUUUUCACACUAGGUAAUGUUCUAGGUAAUGUGAAUCUCAUGGCUGUUACACAAAUAGGUAAACGGAGGUGCCAACUUCCACUGUGUUCUUUAAUCAUUCAAACUGCAGCCCAUUCCUGACAUUGGGCACUUGGGCUGUCUCUUCCUGAUACAUUCAUCUCCGUGUUUUUCAUUUCAUUCCCUUUUUCUUCUGAUCUAAUAUCUCUAUCUAGUCAUGAAAUUUACUUUCUCACAGUCCGCUGAUAUCUAUAACUUAUCUCUAAUGCAAAUUACAGUCACUUUUCAUCCCUUAACUCUGCUGAUUUCUUCAUCCACUUGCUUAGCAAAUAUUCAAAGGUUCAAAAUGAUUUGACUUUUUAAAAAUUAGUAAACUUUAUUUUUAGAGAAUUUUUAGGUUCACAGCAAAACUGAGCAGAAGGUACAGUGAUUUCCCAUAUAUCACCUAACCCCCAUUGUACAUGGCCUCUUCCUCUACGGAUGCCCUGCACCACGGGAAUACGUUUGUUACGCUCAAUGAAGCUACAUUGACACAUCGUUACAACCUGAGGUCCAUAGUUUACAUUAGGGUUCACUCCUGGUCUUGUACAUUCUAUGGGUUUUGACAAAUAUAUGAUGACAUGUAUGUGCCAUGGUAAUAUUGUACAGAAUAGUUUCAUUGCCCUAAAAAUCCUCUGUUCUCUGCCUAUUCAUCCCUCCCUCCUUCUUAAUCCCUGCCAGCCACUGAUCUUUUUACUGUCUCCAGAGAUUCGCCUCUUCCCGAGUGUCAUACGGGUGAAAUAAACAGUAUGUAGCCUUUUCAGAUUUGCUCCUUUCACUUAAUAACAGGCAUUUAAGGUCCUCUCUGUCUUUUCAUGACUCAAUAGCUGAUUUUUAUUAGUGAAUUGUGAAUGAAUUCCAUUGUCUGGAUCUACCACAGUCUAUGUAUCCAUUCAUCUACUGAAGGACAUCUUGGUUGUUUCCAAGUUUGGCAGUUAUGAGUAAAAAUUUUUUUUUUUAAAAAAACAUCAGAUAGGGGCCUGACACUCUGCUGGGUACUGUUACGUAGACUCUCUUAAUGAUUCUCAGACUCCUCAAGAUGGUUAACAAUUUGGAGAAGCUAAGGCUCGGAGAAGUUAAGUGACAUGACCCAAAUAUCCAAGAUGGUGAAUAUAAUUGUCAGGACUCAAACUCCAUGUGUUUUAACAUGGAGUCCACAGUUUCAUCAGCUGCCUAGGGGAGGGGAUUAUUACCUCCCUGCCACUCUCCCUUGCUAAUGGUAGACAUUGCUGGUUAGCUACAGCAUAUUUGCUUGUGAAGCCUAAUUCAAUACAAGCUGUCAAUAAUAAUCAAUUAUCAUUGGCAUACAUGAUGAAACCUAACUGGCAUCCUUGACCUGGCCAUGAAAGAGUGUCACAUAUCUCCUUAGAGCAUAAGCAUUCAAUCUUUGACAACAUUUCGGCUGACACCAAUGAAGUAUGGAUUUUAUUAUUAAUAUAAUGGCCUAAUUCAGGAAGAAGCUAUAUACCCUUAUGGUCCUUUUAAUAACUUUCUGGUACAUUAGUAAUAAUGCCUUAAUUCUGUUAACUUAUUGAAAUUCAGUUCUUACUAGCCUUCACUCCUAUCUUCAUGCCUAUGCCUAGCUACAGGCAGAAUGUUCUAAUAUUGGGCCUUUUCCCUUUACGUAAAAAUGCUUCCCACAUAUGCAAGGAAGAGUCGAGCUUCAGUUACCAAUGCAUGUAGGAGAAAGUGCCCAUUAUCAUUAGGAUUGUAGACCAGUAGAAAGACCUCGGAAAGCACACACAUUCUAGACUGUUGUGUGUUGACACUUUUUUACCUUUCCUUGAGGUUCUCUGUAUAUCAGUGCCACCUAAUUUUAUAUUUUCUGCUUUUAAUAUAUGACUCCAAUCAUGUCACUUACUGGGAAGGAUUAUAGUUUUGAUGUCUGGGUUUAUUGAAAUCUCAGAAAUUUCUAUUGGAGGCCCAGUGUUUUCUACACCAUGCAACAAUUUGCUACAAAAUUAGCAGCUUAAAACAUUAUACAUUUAUUAUCUCAUAGUUAUGGAUCAGGAGGACUACAGGAAGAGCUUAACUGUGACCUCUGCUCAGGGAUCUACAAGACUACAAUCAAGCUAUUAGCCAGGCUUCAUUGUUAUUCACAGACUUGAAUAGGGAAGAAUCUGCUUCAAGCCUACUCAGGUUGUUGGCAGAAUUGCAAGUGAGUCUGUCAUGAGAGAGUUUUAUAUGAUAUAACUUAGUCAAGGGAGCAAUAUUUCAUAAUAUUUUUAUGUUCUAUUGGUUAGGAGCAAUUCACAGGUUCUGUUCACUCAAGGGGAGAGGAUCACACAAAGACCUGAAUAUCCAGAAGAAGGGAGCAUGGGACCACCUCAGUCUGUCUACCCCAAGAAAGUAGCUUAGGGUGAUAGGAAGAGAAUCAGUGAGACUCCAAAAUAUGAAAUAUUAUUUAGAGAAACCUAGAAUAGAUCUUGAUGACAACAUGACCCAGAAUGCCUGGGGAAAAGCGAGGUGUAUGUGCAUUCCCAUGAAUGCCCAUUAGGUGCCAGCUACCAUUCCGAGAAGGAGAAUUCAAAGACAAGAACAUUCUUCUCUCAGGAUGACAUUGUCUAGACAGGAAAAUAAAUAAGUAAACACAAUAAAUAGCGAAGCAGGAUGUGGUAAGUAUGUGAUAAAUGCUAUGAUAAAAGUAGGUAAAAUUACUAUAGAAGCAAAGAGGAGGGGGAUGUGAUAGGCUGACAACAACCAUAAUGAAAGGCUGCCUAGAAUAGGUAAUAUUGGGCUAUGUUUUUAAUAACAGAAAGAAGGUAGAUCACCAUAUAAAGUAGGUGUGUGUGAGUGUGUGCAUGUGUGCAUUUCUCAUAUGGAACAGACAAAUGUAAAAUAACUGAAUACAGAAGAAGUAACAUGAGAUGAACAAACUUGUGAAAUAAUUGGAUACCUUCAAUAGAAAUCUAUGAUCAACAUGGCUCAAAUACAGAGUGCUCUAGGGAGUGGAAGGUAAGGUUAGAAAGGUCAGUGAGAGCUUAGUGAAGAACAGCCCUGCUGGAAUAUGCCAGGCCAUUGGGUCCAGACUUUAUUUUCAGAGAGUGGGAAAUCCUUAAAACUUUUCACCAGGUAAGAUGUAUAUUGUAUGUAUUAAAUUCCCCUUCCUCCAGAAAGUUUUCUUCUAAAACUUAUCUGAAGGAAAUAGCUUGAAUAAGUGCACAAGAAAUUUGAUAUAAGAAUGUUUCUGAUUUUUUUUUCUUACGAAAAUGUGAGAGGUUGAAAACAAUUGCAUAGGAGGGCUUUAAAAUACAGUAUGCUAUAUCCAUUGGAUGGACUAUUAUAUAGAUCUUGUGAUGACAUGGAAAGAUAUCUGUAAUAUGUCAUUAAAUAGAGAAAGCAGAUUACAGAAAAAUAUGAAGAGUACAAUUUUAGCAGUCUAACCACAUGUAAUUUUAGAUGCAUUAAAAAUAUGGAAUGAUAACAUUCAAAUCAUUCAACAUCCUCAGAAAUUAUAUCCUUUUCAUAUGUUUCUGUUUGGUUUGAAGUUUUUACAAUAAGCAAAAGCAAUAUAGGCAUACCCAUUUUGAAAAAGAAUUUUAUAUCAGAAACAUCACUGUAGCAUAUUGUAGGGAUUGAUAUGGAAGAGUUUGUUAGUUGGAACAAAAAUUGAAGGCACUGUAACAAAGAUACACAAAUUACAGUGUUUCUGACAGAUACAUUGAUUUCCCUCUUGUGUAACAACUCGAGUAACAUCCAGCUCUGUGUCCACAAGUCCACCAGGGACCCAAGCUGACAGGGCAGGUGUCCUUUCCCCAAAACUGGUGUUCAAGAUUUUCCGGUUCUUGCCAUUUCCAGAAAAUGGGAAGGAAAAGGGAGAAAAGAGUUCCGGACAAGAUUCUUUUGUUGAAAUGACUUGGACCCUGUACACAUCACUUCCUCUUAUGUCUUAUUACUGAGUUAUAGAAUUAACUGAGGGUUGGAGGAAGGGUCGACAAUCAGCAAUCUGCCACAAGGAGCAAAAAAACUCUAAAUAGGGGAGAUUGUUUUGCAGCUUGAUGUAAUCAUCAAGCUAAAAGAUGAGUUUGUGCUUUUGUUAUUAUUACUUAUCUUUAAAUGAGCUUCCGGUGCAUAUAAUUGGAUUAACUGUAUUCCUUGUUUCAAAAUAUAUGUUGAUCAUUGGUUUAUACAAGUUUCUCACUUGCUUUUUUGUUUAUUAUAAAAUAAAUUGCUGCCCUAAAUAAAAAUGAAAUUGGUUGGGUUUUGCCACAUAAUAAAUCAUUCAAAAAUCAGUGGCUUCAAACAACAAUGAUUUACUGGUUCAUGAUUUUGUGGGCUGGCAAUUCACCUGGGCUCACCUGGGUCAUUCCUCUGGUCUGGGCAGGUUUGGCUGGAUAGUCUGAGAUAGCCUCAUUCACAGUUGUCUGGAAGUUGUUGUGGACCAUUGGUUAAUAGUCAGCUGGGGUUACAGAGGUGGUGGGUCCAGAUUUUUCUACCAGGCUAGCUCAAGUGUGUUCACAUGACAAUGACUGUAGUGUUUCUAGGAACAGCAAGAGAGAGCUAGCUCAAUGUGCAAGCACAUUCCAAGUCAGUGUCUAUCAUGUUUGCUCUUACCCCUUGGUCAAAGCCAGUCAUUUUCCAGGCCCAUAGCCAGUGUGGGAGAAGAAUAUCAAAGGUGUGGAUACACAGAGGCAUGGACACCUUAAAGCCAUUACUACAGCAACCUACAUAAUGGAAAUCCUGUAUCUACACAUGCAGUCCUCCCCCAUGCUAAUAGCUCUUACUAUAUUGUACAUAAUCAUAAGUUCUCCACUUGACUGUAGUAUAAUAUUCCACUGAAUUAAUAUACCAUAUUUUAUUUAUCCUAUGACCUGGGGAUGGUAUUUGGGUCAUAAACAAGUUUUUUGCUACUAUAGACAGUACCACUAUGAACAUUCUUGAACAUGUCUUCUCUUACACAUACAAAAAUGUUUUUCCUUCGGUAUAUCUGGGGGUGAGAUCAUGAAUAUCAAAUGUUGUGAAGUAAUGCCAAAUUAUUUUCCAAAGUGGUUAUACCAACUUACAUUCUCACCAGCAAAGUAUAAAAGAUCCUAUUGAUCCACAAUUCUCCAUAACUGAGCAUAAUAUUGAAAGGCUUCUUAAGUUUUGCAAUGAGAUGGGUAUAAAGUCAUACCUCACUGUGACGUUGAUGACAGCGAUCACAUAAACUGCCCUUGGUCCCAACCCUUAACAGCAAGACGCUAGAGCCUGCCUGAUUUCCUGUUCCCAAUCGUCCUCCAUCUCAACUCCAGCUUCUCUUGUUUCUCUGACACCCUCUAUGAUUUGAAGCCCACAAGGCCCCAUAACCACCCCCAAUAUAGCUACAACAUAAAGUUCCUUCCAAAUAUGAAAUUCUUCUUUUCAAAAUUUCUUUUCUUUCAAAACUUUCUUUCUCUGGCCAAACAACAGGGGGUUUGGAAUUGGACAAGCCUGGUAUGAAUUGCACCUCCUGUACUUAACUAGCUAUGCAACCUUUAACAAUUUACUUAAAAACAUUUCUAUGCUCCAGCUUUCUCCUUUGUAAAACAAACAUAACAAUUCUAUUUUGUUGUGAGCACUAUACGUGGUGACAUAUAUAAAGAAAGAGACAUGCAACAAACAGGUGCUCAAAUUUGGAAGUACUGCUGAUGACUGGGCAACCCUCCUGCUGGGUUCUUGGUUGAAGGAACCAGCCUACUGCCCCAUCAAGAUUAGAUAGACUAGCCUUGCCUGAGGUUAAAUAGCUAUUUCAGUAUUCAUUCAUGUCAAAUAAAAUUGUGAUUUCACUGUGGCUCACAAAACGAUAGUCAGAUCUAACAAAUUCAAUCAGUUAAUUUUUGGACAAAGUCUCAAUGAUGAUAAUGUAGAUCAUUAAUCACUACUCCACCUGCACAUGAAAUAUGACAGAUCUCAGUGUCAGGCAUUUUCACAACUAGCACUAACACCAAGGAAAAUACAGUGAUUAAGGUCCUUCAGUGCUGUUUUGCUCCAAGGAAGUGAGGUGGCCCCUGGGGGAUAUACCAGGAAGUGUGUGCCCCCUGGGGGUCAGGAGACAUGUCUUACAAACCUGGCUCUGCUGUGAGCAUAUUGGGUGAUUGUAAAAAUAUGUUGACUUCUCUAGGUCAGAAUUUCCUGAGAACAUUGACAAACACACAUUUGAUAAAUGUUUGUUGAGUUGAAGUGAAUUGUAUCUGAAAAAUGCCAAUGUUGGACUAAGCCAUCCCCAGUAUUCCUGAGGAACCCCUACACAUUCACACCUCAUUUGAAGCAGCAGCUUCUUCUGCAUGAAAUCUUUUCUGGCUGUUCCAGAGUGGCAAGCCCCUAUUCAGGAGCACAGAGCCUCCUAUUAAAGAUCUUUUCAAAGGACUCAACACCAUAAAGUGGUCCAAUGAUGUUUACGGGAGAUACAAAGGUGGCUGUAGUUUCCCAAGAAUCCACACUUAUAUUGCAAAUGUCCUUUAGAGGCUGGGAAUUUAUGCAUGGCCUGGAUCCUAUGAAUGGCUCAUGGUGAGUGAGGCGCAAGCUCCUUUGCUGCAUUCCACACCACUCUGCCUGAUGUUACAUGGAUCUGCCUUAUGGAUGAGUGGCUCUUCUCUGGGAUAAUCUCAUUAUUUGAAGUUAAGUCAGACACUGAUGCUACAGAAGCCUUGAUUUGUGUUUAGAAUAUUUGUGUUAGAGGAAUUGUUUAAAGAUUUGUCAUUUUAACAGACCAAAACCCAGAUAGGCAUAAAAGGAAUGUUAAAGCAUAACUAUAUCUCCUCAAUAUAGCGCAGUGCAAUAAGGUUCUGAACCUGUAGCUCAAGACUAAGGUCCUAAUUCCAGCUCUUCUACUGAUAGCAUGUAUAAUUUUCAGUGAAUCGCCCCUGUUUUCUGAGCCUUAGUUUCCUCACUUAGAAAACAAAGAUAAUAAUAUCUGUUAUGCCUCUUUUGUGGAAGCAUUUGAAACUCAAAGGAGAUAAUGUAUGUGGUGUUGCAUUGGAAGUUGUUGUUACCUUGACCCAUCUCCAUCUGUGUCUGCAGUGGUCCUGGGUCCCCAGUUCAUGGGAGCCCUCACUAAUCUUUAGCUGAUGGGACACUGUCAUAGCCAUCAUCUGGAUACUUUGUGUUUACACAGCACUUACUCAGAGGAGCUGAAGGCAAUGGGGCUUCUUUUCUGCACAAUCCCGAGGGGUACUCUCAUCCUAUAAUAGCUCAGAGCUUGGACAUAUUUUGUAAGAUAAUCAGCUGAAAAUCUCUUCUGCUUGGUUUCAGCCCAUUUGCCCCUGCCACAUUCCCUGGGACCAAACUUCUGUCUCCAACAGUGGGGAGAGCAAGACUAAUGCCAGAUUAUCUAAUUACAGAAGCUAAGACUAUUGCUGCCAUACAUGAUGCAAAUAUAUUUUGAUCAGGGUCCUAAUGCUGAUUUCUGGGAUGUCACGUUGCAUUAGUAAUAUGCAGCCUUUUCUCCACCGCGUGGCAUGGGAUGUUCAUUGUCCCUUAAGGUGGAACCAGAGAGCAACAUUCUGACUGUGACGUGAAGGAUACUUUUGUUCCUUUGCAGACAUAUACCAUAGUGAUUAAGAAUAUAUAUUUUGGGUUCUAAGGGAUUUGAGAUAGAACUCUAUCUUUGCUAUUUAUUAAUUAGAUGACCUUCCACAAGUCACUAAACUUCAGUUACUUUUUAUGUACAAUGAGUUAAUAAUAUAUACCCUCACAGGACUGUAAUGAGUAUUAAGUUACCUAAUUUAUAUAAGGUAUUUAAUACAGUGUUUGGUGCAUAGAAAGAGCUCAAUCUUAGUAUGUAUAAUUAUUACUAUAUUAUCAUGUAAGUUACAUGAUCUCAUUCCCAACUUGGGUUUCCAUUAUAUUUAAAUCCAGUUUACUUUGUCAGUUAAUUGAACAAUCACAUAUAUGCCUUCUUGACAGGAAGUCUGAUAUCAUCUCUUAAGUACUAUUCUUGUAUUCCAUGUCUCUGCUAUGAAUUGUUCAAGAACUUUGGAGUGUAUAAAAAUCAAGAAAGGGCCAGGCGUGGUGGCUCAUGCCUGUAAUCCCAGCACUUUGGGAAGCCAAGGCAAGCAGAUCACCUGAGGUCAGGACUUUGAGACCAGCCUGGCCAACAUGGUGAAACCCCAUCCCUACUAAAAAUACAGAAAUUAGCUGGGCGUGGUGGUGGGCACCUGUAAUCCCAGCU